rnacentral:rRNA from 1 species
GACGUAGGGCGCGAGCGUUGUCCGGAUUUAUUGGGCGUAAAGAGCUCGUAGGCGGCUUGUCGCGUCGUUCGUGAAAACCCGGGGCUCAACUCCGGGCUUGCGGGCGAUACGGGCAGGCUAGAGUUCGGUAGGGGAGACUGGAAUUCCUGGUGUAGCGGUGAAAUGCGUAGAUAUCGAGAGGAACACCUGCGGCGAAGGCGGGUUGCUGGGCUGACACUGACGCUGAGGAGCGAAAGCGUGGGGAGCGAACAGG